rnacentral:rRNA from 1 species
UGGGGAAUAUUGGGCAAUGGGCGAAAGCCUUACCCAGCAACGCCGCGUGGGGGAAGAAGGUUUUCGGAUUGUAAACCUCUGUCCUGGGGGACGAAGGAAGUGACGGUACCCCGGGAGGAAGCCCCGGCUAACUACGUGCCAGCAGCCGCGGUAAUACGUAGGGGGCGAGCGUUGUCCGGAAUUAUUGGGCGUAAAGGGCGCGUAGACGGCCGAGUAAGUUAUAGGUGAAAGCCCAUCUUUCAAGGAUGGAAUUGCCUGUAAUACUGCCUGGCUUGAGUGCAGGAGAGGGAAGCGGAAUUCCUAGUGUAGCGGUGAAAUGCGUAGAUAUUAGGAGGAACACCAGUGGCGAAGGCGGCUUUCUGGACUGCAACUGACGUUGAGGCGCGAAAGCGUGGGGAGCAAACAGGAUUAGAUACC